AUUGAACGCUGGCGGCAGGCCUAACACAUGCAAGUCGAGCGGAUGAAGGGAGCUUGCUCCUGGAUUCAGCGGCGGACGGGUGAGUAAUGCCUAGGAAUCUGCCUGGUAGUGGGGGAUAACGUCCGGAAACGGGCGCUAAUACCGCAUACGUCCUGAGGGAGAAAGUGGGGGAUCUUCGGACCUCACGCUAUCAGAUGAGCCUAGGUCGGAUUAGCUAGUUGGUGGGGUAAAGGCCUACCAAGGCGACGAUCCGUAACUGGUCUGAGAGGAUGAUCAGUCACACUGGGACUGAGACACGGUCCAGACUCCUACGGGAGGCAGCAGUGGGGAAUAUUGGACAAAGGGCGAAAGCCUGAUCCAGCCAUGCCGCGUGUGUGAAGAAGGUCUUCGGAUUGUAAAGCACUUUAAGUUGGGAGGAAGGGCAGUAAGUUAAUACCUUGCUGUUUUGACGUUACCAACAGAAUAAGCACCGGCUAACUUCGUG
rnacentral:rRNA from 1 species